rnacentral:piRNA from 1 species
UACCCUGGAGCCUGCACUUAAAUAUGGGUU